AGGUCCUGCUGAACGGCACUUGGCUGAGGAGAAGAGAGGCCCACCCGCCAGUGUAGCUGCUGGGGCUGCUACAGCUGCUACGGCUGCAGCCUCCAGGACAGCCUCCAGGACAAGGGACAACAACAGGAGGAGAGACUGCUUUUGAGGACCUCACCUAGACCAAAGAGAAGGGAAGAGCUCCUGUAACUGCUUGUCUGCAGCCCUCAGAGUGAAAGCCAUGGAGCCCUGGGCUGGGUGCUGCAUUUUCCUACGAGGAUUCUCAUUCCUCCUGGGUGUGCUCCAAGCAGACGCUGCUGGUUCCACUCCGUUACAAUGAGUCCUACAGUCAACCAGUGUACAGACCCUACCUGACCCUGUGUGCUGGAAGGCGCAUAUGUAGCACCUACAGGACCACGUACCGCGUGGCCUGGAGGGAAGUGAGGCGGGAGGUACAGCAGACACAUGUGGUGUGCUGCCAGGGCUGGAAGAAGCCACACCCAGGAGCUCUCACCUGUGAAGCCAUCUGCUCUAAGCCUUGUCUUAAUGGAGGUGUGUGCGCCGGACCGGACCAGUGCGAGUGUGCCUCAGGCUGGGCAGGGAAGCA
rnacentral:lncRNA from 1 species